AGAAUCAACGCUGGCGGCGUGCCUAACACAUGCAAGUCGCACGAGAAAGGGUAGCAAUACCUGAGUACAGUGGCGCACGGGUGAGUAACACGUGAAUCAUCUACCUUCGAGUGGGGAAUAACUGAGAGAAAUCUUAGCUAAUACCGCAUAAUACCCACGGGUCAAAGCAGUAAUGCGCUUGAAGAGGAGUUCGCGGCAGAUUAGUUAGUUGGCGGGGUAAUGGCCCACCAAGACGAUGAUCUGUAU
rnacentral:rRNA from 1 species